UACAGAGGGUGCGAGCGUUAAUCGGAAUUACUGGGCGUAAAGCGCACGUAGUCGGCUUUGCAAGUCGGUUGUGAAAUCCCCGGGCUCAACCUGGGAACUGCAUCCGAGACUGCAUUGCUAGAGUAUGGGAGAGGAAAGCGGAAUUUCUGGUGUAGCAGUGAAAUGCGUAGAUAUCAGAAGGAACAUCAGUGGCGAAGGCCGGCUU
rnacentral:rRNA from 1 species